AUUGAACGCUGGCGGCAUGCUUUACACAUGCAAGUCGAACGGCAGCGCGGGCUUCGGCCUGGCGGCGCGUGGCGAACGGGUGAGUAAUGCAUCGGAACGUGCCCAGUAUUGGGGGAUAGCCCGGCGAAAGCCGGAUUAAUACCGCAUACGACCUGAGGGUGAACGCGGGGGACCGAAAGGCCUCGCGCUAUUUGAGCGGCCGAUGUCGGAUUAGCUAGUUGGUGGGGUAAAGGCUUACCAAGGCGACGAUCCGUAGCUGGUCUGAGAGGACGACCAGCCACACUGGGACUGAGACACGGCCCAGACUCCUACGGGAGGCAGCAGUGGGGAAUUUUGGACAAUGGGGGCAACCCUGAUCCAGCCAUGCCGCGUGCGGGAAGAAGGCCUUCGGGUUGUAAACCGCUUUUGUUCGGGAAGAAAUCCUCUGGGCUAAUACCCCGGGGGGAUGACGGUACCGGAAGAAUAAGCACCGGCUAACUACGUG
rnacentral:rRNA from 1 species